AGAGCAUCUAAAACGUAGGAGAGUAUAUUUGGGAUGGAUCAAAUGAUUGAAGGAGCGAGUAAAGAAGGAAAACAAGAAUGGAUCAAAAGAGUGAAAAGAGAAUUUCAAAAUGGCCCACUUGCAUCAAAUGUUGUGUUUGGCUUUAUUUUGACGGUCCUGGAAAGGUUGGUGGAGACAGAGUUUGAGUGUCCCUGUAAAGGGAAAUGCUGGAAUGGUUGGUUUGUGGCUACAUUCUUCAUCUUACCAGGGAUUUUGGCCUUUGUGCUGAUGGCUUCAGUUCAAGGACUGAAGUGCUCAUGUGACAAAGACAAUGCAAAGAGAAUCUUUCACUGCUGCAUCCCUACAUUUGUCUGGAUGAUCCUGUUGGUCUUUGAUGGCCGCUACAUUGCUUGUGCAAUGACUGGUUGGUUAGGCAGGUAUGUAACUGCUGACAAAGCUGCCCCACUGAAAUGGUGUGAACCAGAAAAUGGUACCUCAUAUCAGGAAAAUCUUAAGAAUUCUCAGGACUGGUACGUUCACUCUCAGUUGGCUGGACUUUGCUUGGUCUUGGUCUUGGCCUCAGUCCUGAUCAUAAAAUGGAUCAUGGAUCAACAAAGUCCUUCUACAGGGCCCCAGUUUCCAUGUGUAUCAUCCUUCAUUCAGUGGCCAAGAGAAUAUUGCAGGCCGAGAGAUAAAAGUCCACGUUUUGAGAUGUGGAGGUGGAAAUGGAUUUUGCAUUGGCACCGCCUUGCUUCUCUCUUUUCUCAUUU
ensembl:lncRNA